AGAGUUUGAUCCUGGCUCAGGAUGAACGCUAGCUACAGGCUUAACACAUGCAAGUCGAGGGGCAGCAUUUUAGUUUGCUUGCAAACUGAAGAUGGCGACCGGCGCACGGGUGAGUAACACGUAUCCAACCUGCCGAUAACUCCGGAAUAGCCUUUCGAAAGAAAGAUUAAUACCGGAUGGCAUACGAAUAUCGCAUGAUAUUUUUAUUAAAGAAUUUCGGUUAUCGAUGGGGAUGCGUUCCAUUAGUUUGUUGGCGGGGUAACGGCCCACCAAGACUACGAUGGAUAGGGGUUCUGAGAGGAAGGUCCCCCACAUUGGAACUGAGACACGGUCCAAACUCCUACGGGAGGCAGCAGUGAGGAAUAUUGGUCAAUGGGCGAGAGCCUGAACCAGCCAAGUAGCGUGAAGGAUGAAGGCUCUAUGGGUCGUAAACUUCUUUUAUAUGGGAAUAAAGUUUUCCACGUGUGGAAUUUUGUAUGUACCAUAUGAAUAAGGAUCGGCUAACUCCGUGCCAGCAGCCGCGGUAAUACGGAGGAUCCGAGCGUUAUCCGGAUUUAUUGGGUUUAAAGGGAGCGUAGGUGGACAGUUAAGUCAGUUGUGAAAGUUUGCGGCUCAACCGUAAAAUUGCAGUUGAUACUGGCUGUCUUGAGUACAGUAGAGGUGGGCGGAAUUCGUGGUGUAGCGGUGAAAUGCUUAGAUAUCACGAAGAACUCCGAUUGCGAAGGCAGCUCACUGGACUGCAACUGACACUGAUGCUCGAAAGUGUGGGUAUCAAACAGGAUUAGAUACCCUGGUAGUCCACACAGUAAACGAUGAAUACUCGCUGUUUGCGAUAUACAGUAAGCGGCCAAGCGAAAGCAUUAAGUAUUCCACCU
rnacentral:rRNA from 1 species